CGAAGGAUGCAAGCGUUAUCCGGAUUCAUUGGGUUUAAAGGGAGCGUAGGUGGUCUUCUAAGUCAGUGGUGAAAUCUCUCGGCUUAACCGAGAAAUUGCCAUUGAUACUGGAGGACUUGAGUAUAGUUGCCGUUGGCGGAAUAUGACAUGUAGUGGUGAAAUACAUAGAGAUGUCAUAGAACACCGAUUGCGAAGGCAGCUAACGAAACUAUAACUGACACUGAGGCUCGAAAGUGCGGGGAUCAAACAGGAUUAGAUACCCUGGUAGUCCGCACUGUAAACGAUGAUUACUCGCUGCUAGAUGGCAACAUUUAGUGGCUUAGCGAAAGCGAUAAGUAAUCCACCUGGGGAGUACGCCGGCAACGGUG
rnacentral:rRNA from 1 species